UCUGGGCGGGGUCUCAGCGGGGAAGCUUUUCAGCUUCUGCAUUUCUUAGACGCCUCAGGUGAAUUCGAUAUGCUAGUCCCAUUUAGAACCCCUCGGCCGCUUUCUCUCCGCCCUUCAGGGAGCGUCACCGCCUCACGUCUGUUACGUCACUCCCCGUCUGCCUUUUAUCCGUCACAAAUCUUCGACUCUUUCCUGUUAACGUAGUAGUAUCGUGACUCCGCCUCUCUAAGUUACGUCAUCACCUCCGCCCUCAUUCUUUCCGUUAUGUCACCAUCUUUUCUCUCCUGUGCUUACCUUUCCCUUGGCCCUCGCUACCCCCUCCUCUUCCCUUCCUCUUCCCUUCCUCUCCCCCAUCCCUCACCCUUUCCUCCCUUUUUUCUCCCCCCUCCCCCCAUGACUUCUAAUUCUCCUUUCCUUCUUGAACUUUCAACCGGGUUGACCUCACCCUUCGAAAAACGCACUAACGAUUUCCCUCCCCCUCCUGGGUGUCCGUUGCCCUGCGGGAAAAGAUUGAGCCCCCUCCUCACCCUUGAGCUGCCUCAGGCGUCCAAAACAGGUUACAGCGACCACCAUAACCAAACUGUGGGUCCUUCCCCAAAUGCAGGCAAAAGGUGCAAAAACCCCCCUCCCCCCAAAGACCCUUGCUUCACCGGCAUGUCCCCCAGCUUACCUCCUCGGAUCUCUUCCCCGCCCCCACCACCUCCCUCCCCACCCCCACAGGAGAGAUGUUCUUUUGAACCCUGUUCUUCCCCACACGUUGGAAGGCCGUACUGCCAUGGGCCCAGACACUCUAGUUCAUCUCCUACAAACCCAUGUUUUGACCGGUUCGGCUUUCCGGAGUCACCCUCUGUCCGUCAGCGGAGCACGGUUUGCAGCUGGAUCAAUUCCCCAAGAAAGCAGCAUCCUUGUCCUCCAAGUCCUUACUUUGAGCAGCAACCUUACCACUGUUGCUGCGGUCAGGUGACCUCUCCUGUCACUCAUCAGGCCCCAGGAACCAGCCCGAUGACCUCUCCUCAACUCACUCAUGUUUGCUUAGAAACUGGCCCCUUGAUUUCACCUCCCUUUAUUCAGGGUUCCCAGGGAACUUGUCCCAUAAUUUCACCUCCUCUUACUCAUAGGCCCCCAGGAACUAGCCUCAUAAUUUCAUCUCCCCUUGUUCACCGGCCCAUGGAAACUAGACCUAUAUUUUCUCCAAUCAUUUCUCAUAAGGUUUUGGAAAUUGGGACCAUGACUUCCCCUCUCCUUUCUCACUGGUCCUCAGGGAGAAGUUAUAAUGACCCUCCUCUUUCCCCAGCAUCUUCCCCAGCUACUGGCAGCCUUUAUCAGUGCCACCUUAAGCUUCCAGAUUCUUGUGAACCCAAACCACAGCUUGACCAGUCCAUUGGGAAAAAUUGUGGCUGCCAACUUUCUUCUCAGGCAGGCAUGUCUGGCUCUCCUAACUCACCUGAGGAGGGCUCUUUUCAUCUUCCCCCAGAGGCCCACAUAUCUGCCCCUGGGACCGCUUACUGUGCCAUACACCUAUCUCCUGAGAGUAAGGGUUCUCCUUGUUCACCUCAGUCUCAGGUUUCCGGGAAGCCUUGCUUUGAUCCCCUUCUCUCCUGGGAGACUGACCAGAGCUCUUACCUCUUUGUAACCCCAGGCACUGUGAUUUCUGGUCCUCCCUGUCCUCCAGAAUCGUCUCUUCCCCAGUGUCCCUGUUCUGGCCUGUGCUAUUCUUCACACUUGGGCAACCAGUUUAUAGCUCCACCCCAGUCAGCCCCCCGCAGAAGCUAUAAUGAACCUCCUCUCCCUACCCCAGUUUCCCCACAAAUGAAGUCCCCCAAAUUCUCAGAUUUAAGACAGCAGCAUAUUCUCCACAAAUGUCACUCCCUAGUUAACACUCCCCAGCACGCUUCUGGCCAUCCCAAGCCCUCUGAGGCUGGCACCUCUCCUCUGCCUCCCUCCUGCUUCUCUGGUCCUCGUGUGGAGCCAUCUGUCACAACUCCUUUGAAUUCUUGCCCAAAAGAACUUCCCCCAGGAACUGCCUUACCUGCUAUGUGCCCUGGAAUCGUCAAAACUACUGCCCCUACUUCCCUUCCCCUUAGCCUUCCUUGUGAACCUGUCAUACCCAAUAGUUAUCCUAAGAGCAAUCCCCAUCGACCUCCCUUAGUUCCCCCCUGCAAUACCCACCUAUACUCUGUGGUUCCCACCACUUCCCAUCCCUGCCAACUUCCUGGUUCCCUCAAUCGCUCUACAGUUCCUCCCUGUGGCACCUAUGGCACUCCCAGGGGUCCACCUGUACUCCACUGCAAGCCUGUGGCACCUCCUUGUUCUACCCAUAUCUAUUCUUUUAUUCCUCUGAGAACACCCUUUGACCCCCAGUCUUUACCCAUUAUCCCCCGAGCUCGGCCCUAUCCUGAUACUAUCCCCUGUGGCCUUCAUAACUAUUCUGUGGCCUCUCAAGGCCCCUCCAGAGUGCCACUCCAGAUCCCCUACAGCUGUCCUUUGCCUUCACCCAAGAACUCUAUCUGUAGCAAUGAUCCCAGCUGUAGUUCAUCCAUUGUUACCAGUGAAAGUCAUGUUAAUGAGAGCAACAACAGGACUGUCUCCAAAAAAAAAAGUAAUAUCAAGAGUCCAAAGCAUAGUGAAAGUGGGAGCCAGAGCUCGAGUCCGUACCAUAGCAGAAGUCGGAGCCAGAGUCCGCAAGAUAACAGAAAUCAGAGCCGGGGUCAAAGUAAAGUAGAGGACGAGACUGAGAGUCCCCAAGUUGACAGCAAUCAGGACCAGAGCAAGAGUUCUGACCAUGGUCGAAGUCGGAAAAAAAGCAAGAGUCCCCGUAAUGGUAAAAGUCAGGGCAGGAGCAAGAGUCCCCAAAACAAGAAGAAAGGUCAGGGUCGGAACAAGAGUCCCCGUCAGAAGAAAGGUCGAAGCAAGAGUCCCCGCGCUAACAAAACGUAAGGGCCAAGUCAGAAGACUGGUAACAAGACUGACUACCAGCCAUAACAAGUAUUCCAUCUGCAGCAACCAGGACCAAUUUGUGGACUCCUCAUCUGAAGUCUUCAUUUGCCUUUUAAUCUUCCUUUAUUUUCUUCAAAUCUGACUUAUGUCCCUCACUGCUGUCCCCAUAGCAGUCAUCCUAGAAGUCUCUGUCUUGAUUCAUAUCUCAAGGUUCUGUGAACUCUCCUUAUCCCACCCUUCUUAGAGUCUGGGAACUUUCCCCAAAUUACCCUCAACACUAUGGUUCAGAGCAUUAUGGUUCCAGACACUGCAUAAUCUUUGGCAGAGGCAGAAUGCGGAGGUGGGAGUGGAUACUAACUGGAUCAAAGUUUGCCCUUGAGCUCUGAGAUACUGGUGGGGUCAGACAGUAGGGAAUAGAGGCAAGACUGGGAAGACUGCCC